rnacentral:lncRNA from 1 species
UCAAAUAGUAGCAAGUACUGGUGGGUUGCACACAUUAUACCAGAGGUGCAGUUUCUUUUUGUGGUUGAUUUUGGCUGAGGGAGAGGGGGCAGUAAAUAGGAAUGCUGCCUCUUCCUAAUUCGGGAGGGAAAAACAGAAUAUUUCCUCAUCUGUAGUUUAGUUGGCACUACUGAAGGAUUUCAUGGAGCAGGAAGAUCAAAAAUGUUGUCUGGGGAGCGAUACCUGCCCGGAAUUGGGUACGGUUGUUAGCAGGGUCAGGCCGGUCUGUGUACGUGCUGGAGGCCAGUGGCCACCUCCUCCCCUUGUGCCUGUCGAGUCGAGUUUGCCGGCACGCUGCAAAGUCCCCUGGCAGUGUGCGAGCUGCAGCUGCCCUUGCAGCCUGCAUGCUGGCUGGCGAUGUCCUCGAGGCCCGUCUGUCCCAGCGGCUGGCUGGGUUUGCUCCCAGCUCCACUCUUCUCUCUGCUCCUCAGCCACCACCAUGACCGUGCGGCGCUACUCCACUGCUGUGGCUGUGCCCGCUCCUCCUGGCACGAGGCCUCCCAGGGCAGGGAAGAGCCCAGCUGAGUGCUUCUCCAGCAGCAGUCCCAGCAAACUGAAGCUGUUCCAGGAGCACGUCCGCAGGUGCAGGGGUAAAGUAAAGGCCGUUAGUUUCCUUUUACCGAUGGAUGUGUCAGCAUGUGCUGAAAAUCAAGGUUCUCUGAAAAGCCCACAAAAUCAGGACACACACGAGUUAACUACCAUCACUGAAAAGGAUAUGUGAGCUGGUGAAUUUUUAAAGGCCCAUUGAUUCUUGAGAUAAAUUGGCCUUAAACGAUAGCUAUGUGUCAGGUUCCUUUUUUUGCAAAACGCUUUGGCAGGUUGCCUUCAGAGAAUCACCUAGACUGUGUUUCGGGUCACUGGCCUGUUGUUUAGCAAGGAAAUGGAGGCCAUGACAAAAUCAGCUGAAAGCCUGUACCCUGCAGUGAAGCCACGUGAUAGCAAAGGAUCCUCCACAAAGCAGCUUCUGCUCAACAUCUCUCAAGGCUCUCUCACCUCAGGACUGCUUUAAACAGGAUGUUAAAGCUGUUUUUGCUGUGUUUGUCACAAAAAACGGAAACCAAGUCACCUCUUGAGUUCACCGAUCCUCUUGCCAGAAAGGUCUUUGUUGCAAAUGACAAAAUAAGAGCUGCUAAAAACCCGGGAGGUCUCUUCUGCACUCAAAACUUUAAAGCUUCACAACACCAAUAUAGCAAAGUUAAGGGGAUGUUACGGAAUCAGUUAACAUUACUCUGAAUUUCUGCAAAGAUGGACAAUGACUGCUAAUGCCACUGCAGGUUCACCUCUAGGGGAGGGCAGAGGAGCGUACAUACUAAUCAGUAUGAAAAUAUGACUGCAAAUCUGUUUCUGACCUGGUGUGUCCAUCCAUAUACCAAGCCAAAGUUGGAAGGAUUCUGAAUAUCAGAAUUUUUCAGGAUCGGCUUCUGAACACAUCUCAGAUCAAGAAUCAGUAGCAGACAUUCAUCGAACUGGUGCAAAAUAGAUGUAAGAAAAGACUAUGGACAGCUUGUAAAAAAUGAGGAGUGCUUGCUAACUUAGGUUUGAGCAUCUUAUGAGUAAAGAUAAUGUCCCACGUUUAAUUUGACUACAGGUAUUUAUGGAUCAAAACCACUAUACUUACCUUGCUAUUUCUGUAUGUACAGGCAGCAUGGAUGAGUGAAUGUCACACAGAGGAUGCAUGAACAGUAGAUGCUGGUAACAUUUAGGAAUGUUGUCGUCUCAUGGUCUACUCUUAAAUUCUUGAGCCUUCAAAAGUGAAAGCAGUGAGCUGGUAGAGAAAAAUCCCAUCUUGACUUUCAGUGAUGUUGUAUGCUUCUGUAAAAGCAAGCUCCUUGAGGAUUUUGAAAUUCAUGAUGUUUUGUAUACUGAAGUACAUUUUAAAAUAUUCUCACCAAUGAAAUAAUCAUUUCGGUUUCACUGCUAUUUUAUUUGUGAAUUUUAUUUCCAGCAUGGGUCUGUACAGAGUUGCAUUUUGAUGUUGUGUUUAAUCAACAACGCCCAGCAAAUGAGGGUACAGUCUGGAAAAUUUGCUAAUUUCUGAAAGCACUGACAGGGAAAUGCUUUUUAAAAUGUUUUAAUGAAAGCUUUAUUGUCAGAAACGAGACAUGUGUUAAGUACCUAAAUCCAGUUGAUUUCACUCACCAAAGUAACAACAAAUAUAUUUGAAAAUCUGGCCCCUAACCUUUCAAGGCACCCAAGUGCUUUUGAAACUUCAUUCUUUAAAACCAGAUCUAAUGGGAUUUGGCAAUCCAUAUAUUCUAGACAGCUUUCAAGAAUCUCAGCUUUUAAAUUCUCUAAGCCUCAGCAUCCAUGAAGUGGCAGCGGGAAAUUCUGUUCUCUCACCUUUUUUGUGUCAAUUCAAUGUAGGUAAGUCACUGCAAUGAAAACUGUAUUAACACGUUCUAGCUUAUGACACUGUUAACUGUAGUGUGCUGAUUCUGAUGCCACAAAAAUGCAUAACUGUGCAUGGCCAAGAAAUUAAAUUCACUUUACAUUUAUUAGAGGUGUAAUGAUCUUAACAAUUUUUUGUAUAUUGGUAAGAAAAAACAAAGAAAAGGUGGAAGGAAAAAGAGAGAAAUGAAUCAAAGUAGUCAUUGAAAAAUGGUAGUCGGUGUAUUAAUGGAAAAAAUAUUUUUGAAUAGUAUUUUUGCAUUAUUUCAGUCUUUAGCAGUACCUACUGAUCUAGAAACACAGGAUGAUGUACAGGCACAUUAAUUUUUAAAAGCAGGUGUUCAGAUUUGACCCAGCUCCACAUCUCCAGCAGAGCAGCAGAAGACCAGAUGUAGCAGAGGCCACAGAGACACCACUGAGCACAUCAAUUUUAUUGAAGUACAGCAUAAAGUACCUUACCAUGGCACAGUUACUGUCAAUUAACACAUUCCACUAUUAAAUAUUCACAGAUUGGUCAGUGUGAAAAGGGAAGGUAUAAGCAAAGCUAGAUUUGGGCAGAGAGAUGCAGGCAGCAAUUAAGCCAUGGUCCUUUCCUUUCUUCCUCCCAUAAAGAAUUCAUUGAAGUUCAGAGGGGCCCUGGCCUUUUUGCAAGAGGUUCCCUCCUGCAUUAGCACUGGCCUCUCAGAGAUGUUCCCUCCUGUGUGACACUUGUGCUUGGGGCUAAGUGGCUUUAUAUACCCAUAGCAAGUCCAGAUAAACACGGAGUCCACCACUGCCAUUUGUUAAAUGACAUGUUCUCCAUUUCAUCAGCAUGACUGCUCAAGAGUAGUAAAACACGUCUCUAGGUUGGAGGCAAAAACAUCUUGUCAGAGUAAAUUCUCAAGUUAAAUCAGUGGGACAGCACUGAUUUAACUGGUAUGGCAGACUCAGCGUGAGUGAGAGAGAAGUUGGGUAUUACCUUUCUUUAGAAAAGACUUUAAAACUAUGGUCACAACACAGAAGUGCAAAACUGUGAGCACUGGAAGGUGCUCCAUGUCAGGGGGUGUUACUAAGGUGAAAUUUAGAUGUGUGUCUGAGGGUAGCACACAAGCACACCAUUGGUAAAACCAAUUUAACAAUAAUAAUGCUCAGAUGCAUCUUCAUCCUACAGCUGGUACGACCCUCCCCAAAAUAAUGAGCAAUAUCUAGAUAGCAAAAUCCUUCUAAAUAAAUACAUAAAUAAAUAAAUCCUGCCA